AGUGAACGCUGGCGGUAGGCCUAACACAUGCAAGUCGAACGGCAGCACAGUAAGAGCUUGCUCUUACGGGUGGCGAGUGGCGGACGGGUGAGGAAUACAUCGGAAUCUACUUUUUCGUGGGGGAUAACGUAGGGAAACUUACGCUAAUACCGCAUACGACCUACGGGGGAAAGCAGGGGAUCUUCGGACCUUGCGCGAUUGAAUGAGCCGAUGUCGGGUUAGCUAGUUGGCGGGGGAAAGGCCCACCAAGGCGACGAUCCGUAGCUGGUCUGAGAGGAUGGUCGGCGACCCUGGAACUGAGCCACGGUCCAGACUCCUACGGGAGGCAGCAGUGGGGAAUAUUGGACAAUGGGCGCAAGCCUGAUCCAGCCAUACCGCGUGGGUGAAGAAGGCCUUCGGGUUGUAAAGCCCUUUUGUUGGGAAAGAAAAGCAGCAGGUUAAUACCCCGCUGUUCUGACGGUACCCAAAGAAUAAGCACCGGCUAACUUCGUG
rnacentral:rRNA from 1 species